rnacentral:rRNA from 1 species
GAUGAACGCUGGCGGCGUGCCUAAUACAUGCAAGUCGAGCGAACAGAUGAGGAGCUUGCUCCUCUGACGUUAGCGGCGGACGGGUGAGUAACACGUGGAUAACCUACCUAUAAGACUGGGAUAACUUCGGGAAACCGGAGCUAAUACCGGAUAAUAUAUUGAACCGCAUGGUUCAAUAGUGAAAGACGGUUUUGCUGUCACUUAUAGAUGGAUCCGCGCCGCAUUAGCUGGUUGGUAAGGUAACGGCUUACCAAGGCAACGAUGCGUAGCCGACCUGAGAGGGUGAUCGGCCACACUGGAACUGAGACACGGUCCAGACUCCUACGGGAGGCAGCAGUAGGGAAUCUUCCGCAAUGGGCGAAAGCCUGACGGAGCAACGCCGCGUGAGUGAUGAAGGUCUUCGGAUCGUAAAACUCUGUUAUUAGGGAAGAACAAAUGUGUAAGUAACUAUGCACGUCUUGACGGUACCUAAUCAGAAAGCCACGGCUAACUACGUG